GUCAGUGCGUCGGACAUUUUGUUAUAAUCUUUGAAAAUUUGGCGCGAAAACGGCACCAUGUUGAAAAUCACCAUUUUGGUAGCUCUACUGUUCGUAUCAACAAUCGCGCUGAAACCGAGACCCGAAAGAGACACGGUACACGUUUGUAAUCCUGAAAUCUGCGUUCGUUAUGGACAGUGCGAAUCUUUUACCCCGGAAUGCUGUUGUGACGUGCCCGAAAAUUAUAAAACGUCCCGUUCAGUCCCCGAUCUAGACGCAACCCCAUGGAAAGUAUAAACUUCGAGAAAGUGAAAUAAAAAAAAUA